rnacentral:lncRNA from 1 species
CAAUUUUUCUCAUUUCAGAUUUCAUAAAUAAAAAGAAAAUUUCCUCAAACAUUUUUUUGAGAGGAUUAAUAUUCAACAGCAAAGUGAAUUGCUUAAAGGCAAAAAACUAUUUUUAAAUUUAUUAGACCACAUUCAUUCUGUGUCAGAAACCUAUGCUGUGUCAACUAUUUAAUCACAAUUCAAAUUUAGAGCUGAAUCCAGCUUGAAUGUUGUGUCCAUACUUGCCCCAAC